AUGAACAAGGAUAGGUCCUGGUGGCACCUUCAAGCCUCCGAGUGCCUGCCUCUCCUGCUACGUGGCUGCGUACACUGGCAUGCUUUCAACAGCAAGAUUAUAAUUUUCAACAUGGUGGCAGAGUCAUUCAGCUGGGUGCAAUCUCCCAUAGCCACCAGCUCGGCACAUCUGCUUCAGAUGGAUGGUAUGCUCGGCAUCAGCUGUAUAGAUACCGCUACCAUGAACAUGAAAGCAUGGGUGUUGAAGGACUACAAGGCGGAAGUAUGGUCAUCAAAGUACUGGACUGAAUUGCCGGAGGAGGAUAUGAUGGAAGAUGGUAAAUGUGUUCAGUGUCUAUACGGCAAGGUUGUGUCUGAGAACGGAGAUAUGUUGCUAAUCGGUCGCAUUUGUUGA
rnacentral:rRNA from 1 species